CCCAUCCCACCGCCACCUCCCCCACCUCCCGGCGGUUACCAGCUCCUCCUCCUGACAUGCCGCUCCGCAGCUCCUCCAUCGACCCCGCUGCUCCAAUUGCUUCGCGAGGCCGGGAGCAUUUCGUCGCGUUGCCAUCCCGAGUUCAACGCCGGCGUCGCCAUCCCGAGUUCACCGCCGGCGUCUCCCUCCCGAGUUCACCGCCGGCGUCGCCCAGUUUCUUCAACCUCUGUGAGCGGGCCGCGCUCUCACCCGUCGGCGCGGUGGCCGUCACCUCUGCGGCGGAAGCUCCCCUCCCGCCUAGCGACCUCCUCUCCGAGCUCUCCUUCACUGCCGAGAAAGCCCGUUAUCCCGAGCUAACCUUCACUGGCGGAUAUCCUCGGCGCCGGAAGGGUCCUUCCCCCACUGGAUUCCUCCUCGCCUGGGAAUCCCGUCCUGCCGUCACCUGAUCCUCAUCCGCGUGCGGCGGACGAUCCCCUCCCGCUGGGCGCCCUCCUCCCCGCCGGGGAAUCCUGUCCCGCCGACACCUUCUCCUCCGGUCGGCCACUCUCAAACGUGAGUUUGUCCUCACCUUUCCUUCGUGUGACCAGGCCGCCGCGCAGACCAACCCGCACUUCCUCCGGUCUGUACGACCAAGCUGCGCAGGCCAAGCCACCGCGCGAAUGCUACUUCUUCCUCGCUCCGCUCCUCUCUCGCGGUAUGUAUGGCCGAGCCGCCGUCAUUGCCGGACUUGCCAACCUCCCCCCACCGACAAUCCUGCCCCUCUCCAACCUACUUUAUCGACGCUUGUUCAGUAAUACACCCCCACAGUACAUGUGUAGCUGAUUACCCAGUUCUAUGUCAGUACGAACAGCUAGCUAUAUAUCGAAAUUUCAUGAUUCUAUCCUACAGUACAUGUGUAGCUGAUUACCUGUUCAUGUGGACAGGAUAUCAAUGGAAGGCUCCUUACUGUAAAUAAAACAGCUCCUAGAGGCUCUCGUGUGGAAAGACCUCCCAGACAAUUUGGUGGUCCUUUCAGGAUUUAUGUGGUCAAUCUGCCAUGGCAAGUGGAUGACUCUAGAUUGGUGCAGUUGUUCAGCGAGCAUGGCAAAGUGGUUGAUGCCAGAGUUGUCUAUGACCGAGAAUCUGGGCGUUAGCGGGGAUUUGAUUUUGUAACUAUGGCAACGCAGGAUGAAUUGGAUGAUGCUAUUGCUGCCCUUGAUGGACAGGAUGAUGGUACUCAGCGUUUGGAGGUUGUCAGGGCUCGUAAUGCAGAUGGCUCUAUUUUACGCCUAGCAAGUGAGGACUUUGAGAAGCAACCUGGACCAUGUGGAUGUGAAUGCUCAAUCAGGAUUAUCUAACAAAUCUUGAACUGUAUGUGAUGCUGCUAGCAGGAAGGAUAUUAAUUGUAAGAUAUUUUUUCUGCAGAUACUUGGACUGAGGAGAUCCGAAUGGACUCGUCCAACAGGCACUAACUUAACUAUUGUUGUUGGUGGUGAGGUAAUUACUCAUAAUUUUUCCUGGUUCGAUUGAACUAUUUGCACAUUGAUAAGUGCCCAUUUCAUUAUAUUUAUUGUUUUAUCUUUGUGUAAUCUGAAUAAGCUGUUUAAAGUGAUUCCAGAAAAUUUUGAUCAAACGGCCAAGAAAUGGUGGGCCAUUCCUUUGUUUUGUUCUUAUGGUUGAGUAUUCCUGAUACAAUCUGAUACGUGUGUUUAUUGUUUUUCAUCCAAGCAAGUGAUUAUUUGAUACUUCUCCUUGAUCCAUAUAUUUUACUAGAUAUUUGAGAAAUGUCAGAUUCACAUUUAGUUUGAUAUUUUGAUAUUGCAUUGGUUUGGUUAAGCAAUAGAUCGAUUUUUAUGGUUUUUUGUAUUCUCCUUUGAGCCAAAUCCGAUGGCUUGGAUUCCAUGAGACACUUGCAUAGGCUAAGGAAAACCAGGAUGAGAGCAGUGCCACAUCAGCGAUGUACAAGCGGGUGCUCGUGCAGGUGCCCGCUGCUGUACUUCAUUGUGCUCAAGAUGACGGAACCCAUCUAUGAAUACCAGGAGGCUUCAGUCAGUAAUAAUAUUUUUAUCAUUUGUUUACUUCUGUUGCAAAGAAGGAGCAUCUUGUAAACGGUUGAGGAAGUUCAAGCUUGAGUUUUAUGAGGCUAUGCCUUGAACUAAUUUGGAAUUGUGUACCGAGAAGGAACUUGAUAUCCUAUUGCCAACUUAUUUUCCUGUGUUCAUA